rnacentral:misc_RNA from 1 species
GAUGAAGAACGUAGUGAAAUGCGAUACGUAAUGUGAAUUGCAGAAUUCAGUGUAUCAUCGAAUCUUUGAACGCAUAUUGCGCUCUCUGGUAUUCCGGAGAGCAUGCUUGUUUGAGUAUCAGUAAACACCUCAACUUCCAUAUCUUUUUUGAAAUGGGAGUUGGACUUGAGUGAUCCCAACGCUUUUCCUCACCGAAAAGUGGCGGGUUACUUGAAAUGCAGGUGCAGCUGGACUUUUCUCUGAGCUAUAAGCAUAUCUAUUUAGUCUGCCUAAAAAACAGAUUAUUACCUUUGCUGCAGCUAACAUAAAGGAGAUUAGUUCUUGUGCUGACUGAUGCAGGAUUCACAAAGACGGCUUCGGCCGACUUUGUAAACUCGAUCUCAAAUCAAGUAAGACUACCCGCUGAACUUAAGCAUAUCAAUAAGCGGAGGA